UUCUUUUCAUUGACCCAAGCCAGGUCAAGAUAAGUUUCAUUCUUUUAAUCUGUUCAUAGCCAGACUUAUCUUGACCUAGUUUGGGUCAACGAAGAGGC